CGUCCUGGUCGGAUGCGGAACGG
rnacentral:snRNA from 1 species